rnacentral:rRNA from 1 species
AUGUUGUACGUGGAAUCCUCUGAGAUCAGGCACCAUGACAUAUUGCUCAAAGCCAUAAAUGAUGAUUACUCUCAACAGGUGCCUGUUGUGUUGCCUGGGACAGAAAGCCUGGCAAGGUGUGAAUUCAGCUUCCGCUACCUUAAGGAACACCUGGCAGUUACUGCUGAGGAAAUGGCAGUUUAUCUCACUGGUCACUACGGCGAGCAGGUUACUCCCGCUGAGGCGUGGAGGGCAAGACAGAUGGCUCUGGAGAAGGAAUUCGGUACCUUUUAUGAUUCAUACAACUUUGCCCCGAGGUUACUCAAGGAAAUAGCACGUAAAAACCCUGGUGGUUUUGUAGACAUCAAGGAUGCAGAGGUUGCAGGGUGUAAGGAUUUUCGAGUCCUCCGGCGUAUAUUUUGGGUGUUUGGACAAUGCUUACAGGCCUUCAUUACCUGUCGCCCUGUGCUGUGCAUUAAAGGCACACCGCUAUGCGGUAAAUAUCAAGGGGCGCUGUUGACGGCCGUAGCAUUAGAUGCUAAUGAUUUCUCUGUUCCAAUAGCAUAUGCCAUCGUUGAGUGCGAGACAAAGGAAAGCUGGCUGUGGUUUCUUAGGAAUUUGGGGCGAGCAGUGGUUGAUCAAGCUGAUGUCUGCAUUAUAUUAUACACGACUACAAAAGGGAGUUGA